rnacentral:rRNA from 1 species
CUUUUGUAGAAUGAACCGGCGAGUUACGAUCUGAUGCAAGGUUAAGCAGGAAAUGUGGAGCCGUAGCGAAAGCGAGUCUGAAUAGGGCGUUGAGUAUUUGGUCGUAGACCCGAAACCAGGUGAUCUACCCAUGGUCAGGUUGAAGUUCAGGUAACACUGAAUGGAGGACCGAACCGACUUACGUUGAAAAGUGAGCGGAUGAACUGUGGGUAGCGGAGAAAUUCCAAUCGAACU